rnacentral:lncRNA from 1 species
CUUUUAUUUUUAGUAUUUCUCCAUAUUCUACUUCAUGAAUAGUAUAACUGUAUUUUCUCUCUUUUUUUCUUUUUUCAUGGUGCUGGGAUAGAAUGCUGGUCCUCAUGCAAUAGAGAUAUUUUUAGUCACUGUGAAGACCAGCUUCUGAAUAGUUUCAUUUGCCUGAGUUAUUCUGUACCAGUGCCCUCUCCCUUGCUUUCACCCAUUGUUCCUACUCUUGCAUGAUGAAGCUUCACCUAAAAUGUUGAGUAUCCUGCCCACAUGGGCCCUCUUUAGUUAAGUAAAAACCGUGCUCCUCGUUUUAGCUUUAGCCUUUCCAAAACCCCUCGACACAGGGGGCAGGUGUUUUUAAACUUUAAUGAGCAUUGGAGUCACCUGAUAUGUCUGUUAACUAGAAAUUGUCAGGCUCCACCCCUAGAGUUUCUGAUAAAAUGGACCUGUGCAGGGCUUGAGAGUUUGGUUUUUCAUAGUUUUCCCAGGUAGUGCUGCCGCUGCCUCCACCCAGAGCAACACCUUGAGAACCACCUGCUCUGUAUCCCCAAAGUCAGAGGCUAGCUCAUUUCCAGGUGAGGAGCUAAAGCAGAGGAAGGUUUUGCAGCAUUGACCAUGUCAUCUUACUGGCCUAGGUUUUUCCUGGCCAGGAGCAGUGCCACCCAAGGAGACUGGGGGAUGUGGGGACUACGUAAGUUCACCUGUGUGUAUGUGGCCAAAAGACGAAGCAUCACUACUCCUGGAGUCUGGAUCUGAACCCCGUGUUUGUCAUAGGAGCCAAGACAGAACCCAAGACACAGAAUAGUGGCACAGUAAUGAAGCAUGAAUUAUCCAGAUGAAAGCACCUACGGAAAUAAAGCUGCAGCGGCUUCGCGAGAAUCGUGUGAUUCUACUCAUGUUGCUGUCCAAAAGAGAAGAUAUGCUGAGCCCUCAGCUAGUUUUCCAUUCUUUCCCAUUGCUCAUGAGCAUUCCCAUUAGUAUUUCUAUCUUUAAAAACCAUAAAACUCACAUUUUUAACAACUUAUCGAUGUACCCCCAAAUGUAAUUUAAUCAUUCAAUUCAGUGAUAAAUCAUGUAUCAAAAACUAGAUUUUCCCCUCAUUCACCUAGUGGGAUAUUUAAAUUUUUUUAAAAAACAAAAGAAGGAUUGGUGAUUCAUAAAACUUUGGAC